rnacentral:rRNA from 1 species
UACGGGGGGGGCAAGCGUUGUUCGGAAUUACUGGGCGUAAAGGGCUCGUAGGUGGCCAACUAAGUCAGACGUGAAAUCCCUCGGCUUAACCGGGGAACUGCGUCUGAUACUGGAUGGCUAGAGUUUGGGAGAGGGAUGCGGAAUUCCAGGUGUAGCGGUGAAAUGCGUAGAUAUCUGGAGGAACACCGGUGGCGAAGGCGGCAUCCUGGACCAACACUGACGCUGAGGAGCGAAAGCGUGGGUAGCAAACAGG